GAAGGAGGGUGCGAGGGUUAAUCGGAAUUACUGGGCGUAAAGCGCGCGUAGGCGGUUUGUUAAGUCGGAUGUGAAAUCCCCGGGCCCAAACUGGGAACUGCACCCGAUACUGGCCGACUUGAGUGCGAGAGAGGGAGGUAGAAUUCCACGUGUAGCGGUGAAAUGCGUAGAUAUGUGGAGGAAUACCGGUGGCGAAGGCGGCCUCCUGGCUCGACACUGACGCUGAGGUGCGAAAGCGUGGGGAGCAAACAGG
rnacentral:rRNA from 1 species